GAUGAACGCUAGCGGGAGGCUUAACACAUGCAAGUCGUGGGGCAGCAUUUGGUAGCAAUACUGAGAUGGCGACCGGCGCACGGGUGAGUAACGCGUAUGCAACCUACCCAGUACAGGGGGAUAGCCCGGAGAAAUUCGGAUUAAUACCCCAUAAUGAUAUAAAGAGGCAUCUUUUUAUAUUUAAAGCUUCGGCGGUACUGGAUGGGCAUGCGUAAGAUUAGCUAGUUGGUGGGGUAACGGCCUACCAAGGCUCCGAUCUUUAGGGGUCCUGAGAGGGUGAUCCCCCACACUGGUACUGAGACACGGACCAGACUCCUACGGGAGGCAGCAGUGAGGAAUAUUGGUCAAUGGGCGCAAGCCUGAACCAGCCAUCCCGCGUGAAGGAAGAAAGCGCUAUGCGUUGUAAACUUCUUUUCCGGAGGAAUAAAAUCUUGUACGUGUACAGGACUGAAGGUACUCCGGGAAUAAGCAUCGGCUAACUCCGUGCCAGCCGCCGCCGUAAUAC
rnacentral:rRNA from 1 species